rnacentral:rRNA from 1 species
UACCAGCCCUUCGAGUGGUGUGGAUGUUUAUUGGGCCUAAAGCAUCCGUAGCUGGCUGGGCAAGUCCCCUGUUAAAUCCACCGAUUUAAUCGUUGGAGUGCGGGGGAUACUGUUCGGCUAGGGGACGGGAGAGGCAGACGGUAUUUUCGGGGUAGGGGUGAAAUCCUAUAAUCCCGGGAAGACCACCAGUGGCGAAGGCUGUCUGCUAGAACGCGCCCGACGGUGAGGGAUGAAAGCUGGGGGAGCGAACCGGAUUAGAUACCCGGGUAGUCCCAGCUGUAAACGAUGCAGGCUAGGUGUUUGGGCGGCCACGUGCCGCUCUAGUGCCGCAGGGAAGCCGUUAAGCCUGCCGCCUGGGGAGUACGGCCGCAAGGCUGAAACUUAAGGAAUUGGCGGGGGAGCACCACAAGGGGUGAAGCUUGCGGUUU